rnacentral:RNase_MRP_RNA from 3 species
UAGCCGCAGGAUGAAGUGAGCGGGCCUAACCAGCCCUGGAAAGUCCCCGGGCCCCAUGCGCAGCGAUGCGCCCACGGAGAACGUGGACGGCCCAUGAGCCGGCUCUCCCCGCCUCGGCGGGGGGCUGAGACGAGUGUGGAGCCCAAUCACAGGGGGCCGGCUCUGGGUCAAUUGGCUAAUCUCACAGUUAUUCACUUGGUCCGUAAUGGAUUAACAGAACGGGGCUUACACUCCUGUGGCA